UCUGUGUCUGUAUCUGUGGCAGCCAAUAGUUGUGGCAAGGCCCUCGAGCUACUCACAACAGACAACAACAGCAUCAGCAUCCCCCAAUAAGUGGCAGCAACUGCGACGGUCGGCAGAACAACGGCAGCCGCGUUUGUUGUUAAUUGAAAUAAAUUGAAAUAAAUUCCCCGACUUUGCUGCUCAUAUUGUUAAUAAAGAGCGGACGGGCAACGGUUGAACCAGCGGCAGUAAACAAUAUACACGCAGCAUCCAGCGACACAGGACAUGCGCAGUGGCUUCUUUGGUAGUUGCAGUUUGGCUAACAACGCCUGAAAGAGCGAAUGAACAUGGCCUUCUCCCGCCAUAACAUCGAGAAGCGCCGACUCAUCGAGCUAGUGCGCCUGAACCCCAUCCUCUGGGACUGCCGCCUGCCCCACUACAAACGCUCCGACAAGCGCAAGGCCAUCAAGUGGAACGAGCUCGGUCGCCUUUUCAACGUCAAUGGAGAGCGAGUGCAGCGCACCUUUACAUCGCUCCGCGAGAUCUUCCGCCGCGAACUGAACCACGAGAAGAUGCUGGGCACCACACGCUUCAAGUCCAAGUGGGAGUACUACGACGCCAUGGCCUUCCUCAAGGAGGUCAUUCGUGAGCGCAAAUCCCGUGAGCGCAUCAAGCACGGCUCCCUGGAUUCCGCUCCUGUGCCCACCGGCAGCAGCAACAACACCACCAAUACCACCAACAAUGUCAGUCGUAACAGCAGCAACAACAACAGCAGCAGUGCGGCUUUAGACGAGUAUCAGUACUUCGCGCCGAGUGACCCCAACAACCCAAACAACCAGCCCCAGCCGCAGCCAGCGCCAAAAAGCAGCUUGCCAGCAUCUGUGACCAUCCCCAGCCUGAGUCUCAGCCUUAGUCAGUUGCCCGCUGCUCUGCAGCAGCAGGCCCAGCACCUUCAAGCUCUUCAGUUGCAGCCAGACGUGACGCUGACCUCGCUGCAGAAACAGCCGUCCCUUUCCCAGGCCACACCCACGCCGAUGUCCCACUUAUCGCCCGCCCAGUUGUUGUCCAGCUCGCGCUCCUGCAGCUCUUCGCCCUCGAUCUACAUUAAGGACGAGCCGGGUUCUCCGGAAGUGGGGUGCCCGGAUGAAGUGGUGUCUGGGAAUGGCCGAGAGGGGACGCAUAAGAAACUGGCUACAAUUCGCCCUCAGACCAAAGAGCAGCUCAAGGCGCGGCUGCAGCUGCCACCACCCAAAAAUACAUCGGCUUACGCCACGUCGCCGCCCCAUUUGAUAAUCAAUGCCAACAACGAGCUUAUCGACGCCGACGCCGGUGAUCUGGAGGAGGAUCUGGACGACUUCGACGAGGAUGACGACGUUGCCGGACAUUGCUUGCCAGUUGUCGAUCAAUCGGAGAUGACAGGCGCCGACGGCAGGCUCUCAGCCGGAAGCAGCUACACCGGAGACGGUGGGGGAUGCGGCAGGGGCCUGGGUCGAGCUCACACCCAGGCACGCCAUAUACCCACUUCCAGGGAACUGCUCUACAUAAAAUUCGGCGACUUUCUGGCCGCCCGACUAAACACUUUGAAUGAGACUGUAGCUAACGAGUUGAUGAACAAGAUGCUGCUGCUAAUCGCCGAGAAGUGAUGAUUGUAGGGACCGAGAACGCCUCUGAAACGGAUAAAUGUUGAACGGAGUAGCUCCCAUCCCAAGGCUACAUCCUGUAAAAUUAUGAAGUAACUGGCAUGAAUCAAGCCUGUAUUAUGUGCCAUAUGAAGAAACACUAAAGCGUAUAGCGUAGUCUAUCAUUAAAAUGUAUGAAAUAGAUUUAAGAUCAAAACAGUUUAAAAAUUCGACACAUAAAAUUACACA